rnacentral:rRNA from 1 species
UGGGGAAUAUUGGGCAAUGGGGGAAACCCUGACCCAGCAACGCCGCGUGAAGGAAGAAGGCUUUCGGGUUGUAAACUUCUUUUACCAGGGACGAAGGACGUGACGGUACCUGGAGAAAAAGCAUCGGCUAACUCCGUGCCAGCAGCCGCGGUAAUACGGAGGAUGCGAGCGUUAUCCGGAUUUAUUGGGUUUAAAGGGUGCGCAGGCGGCGUGCCAAGUCAGCGGUCAAAGUUCCGGGCUCAACCCGGUGAUGCCGUUGAAACUGGUGUGCUUGAGUGCGUGCGAGGGAGGCGGAAUGCGUUGUGUAGCGGUGAAAUGCAUAGAUAUGACGCAGAACUCCGAUUGCGAAGGCAGCUUUCCAGCACGCCACUGACGCUGAGGCACGAAAGCGUGGGGAUCGAACAGGAUUAGAUACCCUGGUAGU